UUUUAUGGAGAGUUUGAUCCUGGCUCAGGAUGAACGCUGGCGGCGUGCCUAAUACAUGCAAGUCGAGCGAACGGACGAGAAGCUUGCUUCUCUGAUGUUAGCGGCGGACGGGUGAGUAACACGUGGAUAACCUACCUAUAAGACUGGGAUAACUUCGGGAAACCGGAGCUAAUACCGGAUAAUAUUUUGAACCGCAUGGUUCAAAAGUAAAAGACGGUCUUGCUGUCACUUAUAGAUGGAUCCGCGCUGCAUUAGCUAGUUGGUAAGGUAACGGCUUACCAAGGCAACGAUGCAU
rnacentral:rRNA from 1 species